rnacentral:rRNA from 1 species
UAGUUUGAUCCUGGCUCAGGAUGAACGCUGGCGGCGUGCCUAAUACAUGCAAGUCGAGCGAACGGACGAGAAGCUUGCUUCUCUGAUGUUAGCGGCGGACGGGUGAGUAACACGUGGAUAACCUACCUAUAAGACUGGGAUAACUUCGGGAAACCGGAGCUAAUACCGGAUAAUAUUUUGAACCGCAUGGUUCAAAAGUGAAAGACGGUCUUGCUGUCACUUAUAGAUGGAUCCGCGCUGCAUUAGCUAGUUGGUAAGGUAACGGCUUACCAAGGCAACGAUGCAUAGCCGACCUGAGAGGGUGAUCGGCCACACUGGAACUGAGACACGGUCCAGACUCCUACGGGAGGCAGCAGUAGGGAAUCUUCCGCAAUGGGCGAAAGCCUGACGGAGCAACGCCGCGUGAGUGAUGAAGGUCUUCGGAUCGUAAAACUCUGUUAUUAGGGAAGAACAUAUGUGUAAGUAACUGUGCACAUCUUGACGGUACCUAAUCAGAAAGCCACGGCUAACUACGUGCCAGCAGCCCCGGUCAA